AAGAAUAUUAGUUUUGUUCCAAAAACCCAAUUAAAAUUUUUAUGAAAGUAAACAACACGAGAAUAGGUAUAGAUGUGAAUUAAAGAAAAUGAAACAAAACAAAGGACAAGGAAGUAUGUCUCAAAGACUAUUGCUUAAAAAUAAUAACUGUUUGAAUAAGUUCGAUAGCCAAGGCGGUUUAAUUCUUCGCAAUUAGGUAAACGCAAUUCUUUAGCCUUCUUCAGUGCCUCUUUAUCAGGAAAGAACCAUCCUUGAGCUCUUCGAAUUUCGUCUUCUUUAAUUUGUUGCUCGCGCAAACAAGCAUUAUGGACGUUUUGAGUAUACGUAUGCUCGACUUUUUCGUUGAGUCUUCUUAUAUCUCUUGAACUUAGCUUAUCCAAAUCCUUUUGGCUCAUAUAGUAUGGAAUGUUAUGCUUGGCAGUAGUACGAGGAACAGUGUAUUUAUAGUUUUGUUGAAAUGAAUAGCGCGUAUUAACCGACGUACUAUCUGACCAACUAAAGUUGGACAAAAAGGCAAAAAGGAUUACCACUAUCAAAGGUAGCAACUGAUAAAAUAUGCUCUUUGGGGGCAUGUCCUGGGCCUGCUGACGACGUGCAAAAUUCCUUGGACGGCCGCCAAACUGAUGAACUCGAAUGCCAGGUCCACCACCGAAGAAAAAUGUU